AUCCAGCUGACGAGUCCCAAAUAGGACGAAAGGUGCGUCCUGCAU
rfam:Schistosoma mattheei strain Denwood, Zambia genome assembly, scaffold: SMTD_scaffold0011241